UGGGAGACUUAGAGAAGAAUCCGGAAAGUUUUCUUAUUGGUGAACAGAGUGAACUCAGGAAAGAGAUGGCCAUGUUGCAAAAACACUUCAUGAUGGAACAUCAGCAAUAAGAGGUGGCAAUUGUUCGAAAGUCUCUUCAUUCUCUAUUAUUCUGAUGACAUUUGAAGAAAGGACUUGAACUAAGUAACACGAUAAUUGUGGUUUAACAGUUCUAGUUUAAAUGAUCACAUCUUGUUACUCGUUGGCCUGUUUAAGUGUGUAAACCCAAGUGAGACCUAACCAGUUAUGUGAGUGGCAGCAAUUCCAAAGUUAUACGCAGGAAACGUUCAGACCUUUGGUAGUAAUGGGGACUUUUUCUCCCUAACACUGUCAAUUCAAUUUAAGCAAUAAAGAUGAUUUCCAUUUCA